GGCAAAGCUGAUACACAGAAAAGACUCUAUAACUUGUAGGAAAUGAGAGUUAUAAAGUAGGUAUGCAUUUAUUCAGCGCUGAGGUGCACGGGGAUAAUUCCUCCCAAAGCAUGCAUCCCAAAACUUCAAACUACUGCUCUAUUCAUUCCCUAAAAGCCU